rnacentral:rRNA from 1 species
CGUGAGGAACCUGCCUCAAAGAGGGGGACAACAGUUGGAAACGACUGCUAAUACCGCAUAAGCCCACAGUUCGGCAUCGAGCAGAGGGAAAAGGAGUGAUCCGCUUUGAGAUGGCCUCGCGUCCGAUUAGCUGGUUGGUGAGGUAACGGCCCACCAAGGCGACGAUCGGUAGCCGGACUGAGAGGUUGAACGGCCACAUUGGGGCUGAGACACGGCCCAGACUCCUACGGGAGGCAGCAGUGGGGAAUAUUGCACAAUGGGGGAAACCCUGAUGCAGCGACGCCGCGUGGAGGAAGAAGGUCUUCGGAUUGUAAACUCCUGUUGUUGAGGGAGAUAAUGACGGUACUCAACAAGGAAGUGACGGCUAACUACGUGCCAGCAGCCGCGGUAAAACGUAGGUCACAAGCGCUGUCCGGAAUUACUGGGUGUAAAGGGAGCGCAGGCGGGAGAACAAGUUGGAAGUGAAAUCCAUGGGCUCAACCCAUGAACUGCUUUCAAAACUGUUUUUCUUGAGUAGUGCAGAGGUAGGCGGAAUUCCCGGUGUAGCGGUGGAAUGCGUAGAUAUCGGGAGGAACACCAGUGGCGAAGGCGGCCUACUGGGCACCAACUGACGCUGAGGCUCGAAAGUGUGGGUAGCAAACAGGAUUAGAUACCCUGGUAGUCCACACCGUAAACGAUGAUUACUAGGUGUUGGAGGAUUGACCCCUUCAGUGCCGCAGUUAACACAAUAAGUAAUCCACCUGGGGAGUACGACCGCAAGGUUGCAACUCAAAGGAAUUGA